GGCUAAUUUCCUGUGGCUGUUUAAAUGAGAAUAGCCUCACAGGCUCAUGUUUGAAUGAUUGGUCCCCAGUUAGUGGGGAUUAUUUGGAAGGAUUAGGUGGUGUGGCUUUGUUGGAAGAGUUGUGACCUUAUUAGAGGAAGCAUGUUACUGGGAGUGGACUUGAGGUCUCAAAAGUUCACACCAGUCUGUGUGUGUCUUUCUCUGCCUGCAGAUUGGGACUGAAAGCUCUCAGCUACUGCUCCUGUAUGUUUCCUGCCAUUAUGAUCAUGGACUAACCCACUGAAACUUUACUUCCCAGGCAGUGGUGGCAAACGCUUUUCAUCCCAGCACUCGGGAGGCAGAGGCACAUGGAUCUCUGUGAGCUCAAAGCCAGCCUGGUCUAUAAGAACUAGUUCCAGGACAGACUCCAAAGUGCUGUAAAACGUUCAUGUCAUUGGCAGCCACCUCAACCACAAGAUGGCUAACCUUGUAUGCUGUAGAAGUGAACACUAUACUCAGUAAGCAGAAAUCGCCCCUUUCCUCUUUCUCCAUCAGCCCCUGGGAAACGGUGUUCUACUCUCCAUCUUUAUGGUUCUGACUGUUCUAGGGACCUCAUAUAAGAGUUUGACUUUUGUGAUUGGCUUAGCUUACUAGCAUAAUGUCGUAAAGAUCCAUCAAAGAUAUCCUGUGUGCCAGGAAUGUCCUUCGAUUCUGUAUACACAUUCUUUAUUUACUGACUUACGCUUUGGUUGAUAUUAGAUGGCUUCUACAUUCUAGCUAUUGCUGUAAACAUGACGUACAGAGAUGUUUUCCUAGACCCUGACCUUAAUUAAAGCUUUAGGUAUGUACCUAGAAGUGGAAUUGUUGGGACAUAUAGCAUGAUGACUAAUGUUGGUUGCUGAUUUGACAUCUGAAAUGAACUAAACCCAAGCUUCUGGGCACUCCUGUGAGGGAUUUUCUCAGUCAGAUUAUCUGAAGGAAGACCCACCCUAAAUCUGGGCAUAUGGUGGUGGCCCAGAGAAAAAGACAAGGAAGAAGGAAGCUUUCCUUUGGCCUGCCCACCCUCAUUCUUGCUGGCAGAUCUGUCCACUCUGCUCCUAUGACCAGCACUAACUAACUCCUUCAGGAUUCUAACACAGACUGAAAAUCAGCACUUCUGCAGGAAUUCUCCCCAGACUUCAACACCAGAUUGGAACUUCACAGACAUGCAGUUUAGUGGACCAAACAAUUACCAGGUUUUCAACCUUCUGUCAUGAGACUGCCAUCGCUGGACUACCUGGACCACAUCCUGUAAGCUAGCUUAAUAAAUUCCCUUUAAACACACACACACACAUACACACACACACACAGAGAGAGAGAGAAAGAGAGAGAGAGAGAGAGAGAGAGAGAGAGAGAGAGAGAGAGAGAGAGAGAAAGAGAGAGAGAGAGAGAUCUGUUCCUUUCGAGAACCCUAACACAUGGCAAUUCUAUUUUCAGUUUUCUAAAGAACUGUCAAACUAUUUUCCACAAUAGCUGCAUUUUACAUUCUGCCACCAGUUCACACGGUUCCUAUCCCCACCGUUCCAGCAAUUUUUUUUUUCUUUUUAUGUGUGUGUUUUGGAAUUGGUUAUCCCAAUGAGUCAGAAGGAAUCUUGCCAUGGUUUUGAUUUUUACUUCUUUGGAAAUUAAUGAUGUGGAAUAUCUUUUCAUGGCUUAUCGGCCAUUUGUAUGUUUUCUUUGAAGAAAUGUUCUUGAGCCUUCAUAUCUGAGAAACUGCUGAUUUCUGCUGUCUCUUGCUUUAGAACAGCCGUCCCCUUUCUGAUCUCAGUCCACAAGCGCAAGUCCGACACCUAACAAGGUAGGGAAGGGCUCUAAAGUAUCCCCAGGGAGACUGGAGAGAUGGCUCAGUGGUUAAGAGCAUUGCCUGCUCUUCCAAAGGUCCUGAGUUCAAUUCCCAGCAACCACAUGGUGGCUCACAACCAUCUGUAAUGAGGUCUGGUGCCCUCUUCUGGCCUGCAGACAUACACACAGAAUAUUGUAUGUAUAGUAAAUAAAUAAAUAUUAAAAAAAAAUAAAGUAUCCCCAGUACCACUCAAUAUGGCAAACCACCCUGGACACUGCUAAACCUGACCUAAAAUGUCAAGUUCCUUUUGCAGUCACUGCCUUCAAGCUCGCACUGGCUUUUGACCAUUCAGCUGUCAAAUUCAUUUUCUAGCAGUCACAUUCUUCCAGUCUCAUGAGCUCAGCCGUGUACUCAUACCUGCCAGCACUCAGCCAUGUUUUUGUUUUCUGCAUGUGUACACAUAUUUGUAAUGCCUAAGGGAGCCUUGUAGUUAAACUACACCCGUGAUCACAUUAUUUUUACACGUUUGAACCACAUUACUAUCACUCUUUGCCCAUCUGAACCCUUCAAAUUUGCAUCCUUCAAAUUUCACUUCUUUAAAGUUGGAGUCAAUGCUCCAAUCAGAAGAGUCACAAAGUGGAUUUGCACUGCCCUACAUUUAGUUAUAUAUUUAUAUGAUCCUAAUACAGGCCCAUAAUUGAAAAUCUGUAUGUGCAGACUACUCCUCCCUACCACUCUAGUUCUAGUCAUUAGCAAAAGCUUUUGUGUAUCUUUUCAAAUAUAUUACAAAUGUGAGUCAAUAUUUUUUCUUUUACACAAAUGGAUCCAUCAGGGCUGGAGAGAUGGCUCAGAAGUUAAGAGCAUUGUCUGCUCUUCCAAAGGUCCUGAGUUCAAUUCCCAGCAACCACAUAGUGGCUCACAACCAUCUGUAAUCAGAUCUGGUGCCCUCUUUUGGCCUUCAGGCAUACACACAGACAGAAUACUGUAUACAUAAUAAAUAAAUAUUUUUAAAAAAUAGAAAAAAAACCCCAAAUGGAUCCAUCAUAUAACACAUACUACUUUGUAACUCUGGUUAUCAUGAUUUCUUUACCCAUUUGCCUAGGUCAGACAGGGCUGCCUGCAGUAUUUGGCUACUGUGAUAAAGUGGCUAUUAAAGAUUGUAUACGAACUUCUCAUUUUUCUUAAGUCAGUAUCUGUAUAAAAAAAUUGCUGGGUCAUUGGACCCUGAAAUGGCAUUCCAGCCACUUCUCCCAGUUAUUUGCAUGCAAUUUGGCUCAAAUUUCACGUGGUCUCCAGGUUUAGUGGAGAUGCUAGAGUAGGUAGGAUGGGAAUACUAAGGAAGGGGACUGCAUCUACUCAGACACAUGGGAACCGCCAUCCAUGUAGGUGUAGACAACCCAGCAUGGCUGCUUUAGGGUCAUCCAUGUUCCCUCCUGUAUCUCCUCACUCACGGUCUGUAGGGAAGACCAAUAAAAUCAUUGGUGAAUUUUGGAAGAAUUGAAAUCUGGUUGGUUUUCUGCCAACUUGACACAAGCUAGAGUCAUCUGGGAAAGGGACCUCAACUGAGAGAAUAUUCCAUCAGAUUACCUCUCUACAAGUCUGGAGGGUGUUGUUUGUCCCCCCCCC